GCAAGAAAAGCAGACCUACUUCUAAGAUGAAGGGUGCCUCUGGCAUCUUGCUCCUUGUAUUACUUACAGCAUUGGCUGCCAUGGUCACUGCAACUGAAGAGAGAAACGACGUGGCAGGUCGUGGAGGCGGUUAUGGAACGGGAUGCCCAGACGCCGCUGCCUGCACAGCAAGCUGCAAAAGCCGUGGCUUCCUGCUAGGCGUGUGCCUUGCACCUCUACUGCAAGUCUGUUUGUGCUCAUAAUGUAUAAUCGAGCCCGUCAUCAGCCAGCA
rnacentral:lncRNA from 1 species